AUCACCUCAUUCAGUUUUUCCAACUAGGUGACAGCAUGUCUCUUCAUGUAGUUAUUAAAUUAAGGCCACAAGGAACUGUUAGAUAUGCAGAAAAUAACAACUUACCUUUAAAAAAGCCAUUUUCCCCAGAAAACCGUCUAGUCCUAAAGGUAACACUAGAUGAAGAACCCACCUUUUCUUAUGGCAGAUUGACCCCAACAGUCAUCAACAAUAUAAAUAUAUGUCUGCCAAUGAAGAUUCUUACAGAGUACAGGUAGAAACUUUUUUCCCCACAAAGAUGUCAUUGGAACAGUUUGCCCAGGGUGGUUGUGCUCUUUGUCCGUAGAGAUUUUCAAGACCUGAUAAGAUAAAACCCUCAGCAAGCUGGUCAGAGCUCAGAGGUGACCCUGCUUUGAGAAGAAAUUUGAAUUAGUGGCCUUUUGAGGUCCCUUCCAGCCUAAAUUAUCAUGCAAUCUUCCAACACUAUAAUCCUAACAUUAAUUUGCCUGUCUCCAGAUUCCAGGCACCAGUCUUAAUGAGGCCAUUCUGAGCUGCCAGGCUUAGCUCUGCUGAAUUAUCUCUGCUGGAACUCUCAGUCCCUUGUCCCUAAGGAACUAGAAAGCAAGGCACAACAGAGCUUUUAUUUUCCCUUCUCUGAGGCUUGAGGAUCUGGCAAAUCCAUACCCAAGGAUUUUUCUACUCCUGGCUCUGCAGCUGAGAUUUCCAGGCUCCUAAAAUAUUAACAUACUUUAAAAUACUUUAACAUACAGUAUUAACAUACUUCUUAAUAUUUU